UACGGAGGGUUCAAGCGUUAUCCGGAAUCAUUGGGUUUAAAGGGUCCGUAGGCGGUUUUGUAAGUCAGUGGUGAAAGCCCAUCGCUCAACGGUGGAACGGCCAUGGAUACUGCAAGACUUGAAUUAUUAGGAAGUAACUAGAAUAUGUAGUGUAGCGGUGAAAUGCUUAGAGAUUACAUGGAAUACCAAUUGCGAAGGCAGGUUACUACUAAUGGAUUGACGCUGAUGGACGAAAGCGUGGGGAGCGAACAGG
rnacentral:rRNA from 1 species